UUCAGAAAAAGAAAUUUGAAGACGAUACCCCGGAAGUUCCAGAAGUAAACGUCGCCAUUGACGGUUGUUUCUUAUGGUGGUAUAAUAUCUUAACCUUGCUGUUACACGCAAACCCUUAUCGGUAACUCUCAAUUGCCAUGUUUUUUUUUGGGGGGAAAAUACAUAAACAAGCCCUUUAACAUGGCUCGAGCUGGCAAGUAUGACCUUAAACUUUGCUAGUGCACAAGUAGGCACUUAAACUUGGCAAAAGUAAAAAAUGAAUACACAAAAUUAUAGCAGGUCACAUGCGUGAUGUGUAAUCGCUCCUAAGUGGAUUAAUGCCCAAUCAGAGGCUGCCAACUAAUUUACAUGUAGAUUAGACAUAAAAAAAAAUGAAGAAGGUUUAAUUAAAAGGGCUGAAAUGUUUUAGCCGGUUCAUUGUGUAAAAAGUCCCAAGGACAGAAAACCUUAAGCCCCAAAUUGAUCCGAUUGAAACCCAAAAAUCAGUGUUUAAUCUCUUCGAUUUGGCUCGAAAUCGUUCAAGGUCGUUGUUGAAGCUUUAAGGAUUUGAAGAUUUAUCCAUUCUUCUCCCUCAAUUUAGCCAAGGGAAUAUUUACUGUAAUUUUGUCUCACUUAACAACCAUCAAGAUCAAGGCCAACAAGUCAUCCAAGCACUCAACAUUCCUCUUCUUUAUGUCCAGAAACUUCAAGAGUUAGAGGAAGUAGAAAACAGACAGCAACUGGUUCAUCAAGUUCAAGGGCAGAAGUUGGUUCUUCAACUACAAGGGCAACAUCUUCUUCAAUUGGAAAAAAAGAACAAGAGAUGUGGGAUUUGGUGUUUGCACAGACACACAAUUCGAAAGACAAGUGAUCAAUGUAUGUAUAUCUAUUAGCUAAUUUCCUUAGAUAUGUAUAAUGUAAAGUGUAUAACAUUUAUGAAUUUUGCGGCCUGGGAGACCAAGUGAAAGAGUUAUCUCAAGUGGGGCAACAUUAAAGGAUGCAUCACUAACAACUAUUGAUCUUGGAUUCAAGCCACCUGGACUGAGGUGGAAAAAUAAAGAUGCUAUCACUGGAAACUAGCUUGAAGUAAUGCAGUAGCGUAAAAAGUUGGAAAUCAGAUCCAUAGCUAAGACUUGGAGGCCAUAAGAGUUCAAGUUCAUUUGAUGUAAUUUUUGUAAACCCAAGUUCUAGCAGUUCUGGUGGCAUUUAGACUUGCCUUUAAACUAUUUAUUCCAACUACUUAACAUUUAUUCUUUUUGAUGUAUGUUUUGGUUAUUUUGAUGUAUGUUUGGCUUUUGGAUGUUUUGUGAAGCCUUUUGGCAAAAUUGGCAGAUUUAUAAAGAUAGUUUUAUGCAUAGUUUGAUUGAA